rnacentral:rRNA from 1 species
CUAUCAGGCGUCGAGCGGCGGACGGGUGAGUAAUACUUAGGAAUCUACCUAGUAGUGGGGGAUAGCACGGGGAAACUCGUAUUAAUACCGCAUACGACCUACGGGAGAAAGGGGGCAGUUUACUGCUCUCGCUAUUAGAUGAGCCUAAGUCGGAUUAGCUAGAUGGUGGGGUAAAGGCCUACCAUGGCGACGAUCUGUAGCUGGUCUGAGAGGAUGAUCAGCCACACCGGGACUGAGACACGGCCCGGACUCCUACGGGAGGCAGCAGUGGGGAAUAUUGGACAAUGGGGGAAACCCUGAUCCAGCCAUGCCGCGUGUGUGAAGAAGGCCUUUUGGUUGUAAAGCACUUUAAGCAGUGAAGAAGACUCCGUGGUUAAUACCCACGGACGAUGACAUUAGCUGCAGAAUAAGCACCGGCUAACUCUGUGCCAGCAGCCGCGGUAAUACAGAGGGUGCAAGCGUUAAUCGGAAUUACUGGGCGUAAAGGGAGCGUAGGUGGCUCGAUAAGUCAGAUGUGAAAUCCCCGGGCUCAACCUGGGAACUGCAUCUGAUACUGUUGAGCUAGAGUAUGUGAGAGGAAGGUAGAAUUCCAGGUGUAGCGGUGAAAUGCGUAGAGAUCUGGAG